AACGAACGCUGGCGGCAUGCCUAACACAUGCAAGUCGAACGAUCCCUUCGGGGAUAGUGGCGCACGGGUGCGUAACGCGUGGGAACCUGCCCUUAGGUUCGGAAUAACUCAGAGAAAUUUGAGCUAAUACCGGAUAAUGUCUUCGGACCAAAGAUUUAUCGCCUUUGGAUGGGCCCGCGUUGGAUUAGCUAGUUGGUGGGGUAAAGGCCUACCAAGGCGACGAUCCAUAGCUGGUCUGAGAGGAUGAUCAGCCACACUGGGACUGAGACACGGCCCAGACUCCUACGGGAGGCAGCAGUGGGGAAUAUUGGACAAUGGGCGAAAGCCUGACCCAGCAAUGCCGCGUGAGUGAUGAAGGCCUUAGGGUUGUAAAGCUCUUUUACCCGGGAUGAUAAUGACAGUACCGGGAGAAUAAGCCCCGGCUAACUCCGUG
rnacentral:rRNA from 1 species